AAUUAUUAAUCUUUAUAAUUUUACUAUCAAAUCCACCUUCAAUAAACAUUUCAAAUUUAUAUUCAUUUAAAUAUUUUUAUUGUAACCCAUUUCUACUUAAAUAUUAGCUACACCUUGAUCUGAUAUAUUUUCUUUUUAAAAAUUAUGAA
rnacentral:rRNA from 1 species